UUUAAGCUCAGCAGCAUCUAACUGUUCCACUCAGGAUGACUUCUGCUGUCUCCCUCUUUAUAUUUUUUUUCCUGCUACCUUGAUUGCAGCUUUGUGUCCUUUCUGCCCUGAUUCGUUGUUAAUUGGCUCUUCCUCCAGAUGGUCACUGCCUAAGGGCGAGUCAUAGGAAAGCUGGUCACUGUCCUCCCUGUCACCUUUGUAGACCUGUGGUAAGUCAGCUCCAGAGCUCACCCUGCACAGAGGCUGGAAAUCACGUAGUGGUUCCCCUGGAGCACCUGUGAGGAAUCGGCAGCUUUGCAGCAGAGAGGAGAUCUAAUGGAUUGCAGAUGCAGGGAGAGUUGAGGCAUGGAAAGGCUGAGGAACUUGCUGGAUGUGGAGAGCUAUGACGUGGUGAUACCACAAGCAGCAGUCAUACAGUGAAGGCAUCGCCUGGGAUCUGUCUCUGACACUGUCUUCCCAGCAGACCUGCCAGUGUUAAGCCUGAGACAUGUGGUGAGCUGGUUGCAAUCCAUUGCAUGCAAAAAUAAAGAGGGCUGGAAGGGGGGAUGGUCGCAUCCCUGAUCCGAGAUGGUGAAGGAGCCCUAGGGAUUGGAUAUACACCACAUUGGCAUCUCCUGACUUAAAAUGAGCUCUGGUUGCUUUGGCUUGGGCAUGGCAGGUGUGUUAGUAAGUUCUGAAUCACUGUAACAAAAUACCCGAGAUAAUUAAUUUACAAAGAGAAACUUUUUAUUUUGGCUCACAAUAUGGGAGUUUGUUUUCACUGUGGGCCUGCAGUGAGGUAGCACAUAGUGGCAGGGUGUGCACCGGAGAAAACUGUUCCCCCCAUGGCCAGAAAAGCAAAACAUCAGGGAGAGGUCAGAGUCCCACCCUCUCCUACAAGAACACCCCUUGUUUAGUUAAAGACACCCCAUGAGGAUCUACUUCUUCAGGGUUCCACCACUUCCGAGUCCUGCCACCUGGCAUGACAAUCCUUUAAGACACGGGGUUUGGGAGAUAUUAAAGUUCCAAUCCCUAGCAGCUGCUAUCAGCAUGGAGCUGGUAUCAACGGCAGAGCUACGACUUUUCCUAUCAGUACUGAUGAGACCCAUCUCUACUGUGGUGUGGAACAGGCAGGAGGAAAAUGACCAUCACCACUGCCAAGAGAUUAGCUUGAAAAUCUAUGACAUGCUUCUGGAAAUUCCUGGAAAUGUCUAGAAGGAAUUCAGGGAGGCUGCAGUGAUUACAGAACAUGUUUCUAUGGAAUUUAGAAAACACUCUGCCUCUGAUCUCACUGCGGUGCUGGUGAGGCUGAAUUUAUUUACACUCAACCGUAAACCUAGGUUUUAUAGAGCUGGAAGGUUAUACAAGUUUGAUCCUUCAUCAGGGAUCAAGAAUUACAGGUGCAAAAUUAGGAUCAGGACCUUGGAAGAGACUCAGGCAUGUGGUUUCAUUUAUUUCAAUAUAUUCACCUCUGCGAAAGUUAGAAAUGUUGCUGGGUGCGGUGAUGCAUACCUAUAAUCCCAGGACCAGGGAAGCUGAGGCAGAAGGAUCCCCAUGAGUUCAAGGCCAGCCCGGGCUACAUAAUGAGUGAGACUCUGUCUCAAAAAUAAAACAAAACAAACAAGAAAGAAAUGUCAGCAAUAGUUACUCAAAGGUAUCCCACAUCAUAGAUUGCUUAACCCAUUUGUUCAACUAUGGGUUUUUAAAGGAUCUCAUUCUGAGAAAAUAAAUAAAUAAGUAAACAAACAAAUAUAACAUUGCAUGAGUCCGAUUUGCAAAUGGAGUACUCUCUCCUAAAGCUCUAGCAUCCUGCAUAGUGUGGGAAGGAAUUUAACAGCCACCCCCAAUGGACUUGUGUCCCUAACAUCACCUUUCAAUUGAGAGUACAGACUCUACCUAAGAGCAGAGGGAAGAUCAGCCUAGAGAAAACACAGUAUCCGAUGCUUUGAUGCAUAGUGCAUUUAGAGACUCAAAGCAAAUUCUCCAAAAGGACGACAUGAAAAAGCACUAAAAAAGAUGACCUUCUCCAGAUGCUGUGUUCUUUAUAGCUUUCAUCUCUCAUUGAAGAGGCCAAAGUUGAAGAAACUCUCCACUGAAUAUAACCUGCGGUCUACAGCCAUAAGAAUUCUGAUUUGGCAACUGCAAUCAAACAGCUACAGGCAAUAUGAAUUGUUAGGCAAUUGUAAAUGUAAAUGGAUCUUUGAUCACAUGUGCAUGCCACUCAAGUAAAGAAGAAACUGUAACCCUGGAUUUCUGGACUUUUUUCCUAUAUAGUAGUUUCUCAGUCUUGCUACUAAGGCCCUCAAAUUUUCAAUUCAUUCAUAUUGUGAACCAGGAGGUAACUGAAGCUAAGUUACAUUUCUUCUUAGGUUCUGCUUCUGGACUCAUUUCAAUCCAACCUCCAUUUUUGUUGCCUGAGUAAUGUGAUUGUUCUGUCCUUCCACUUAAAUCCUUUGGCAGUGCCCCACUGGCUAUGGAGUGUGGUGCGGUCUCAGUACAACCUUCAGGAUUGUAGGUGGGGACCAGCCCAUCCUCUGACACACAUCCAUGGAAUUCCUGCCUGUUCUUGCUGAGUGACCUCCAGCUCCCCACCAAGGUUCUCAGAUAGCCGCUGGGACCAGAAUGCUCUUUCCCAGCUCCUAGCAAACCACCCCUCACUUUUUCCAGCAGCUCGUGUAACUCUUGCUAAAGCUUUUCCAGAGCAAUGAUCUCACGCUCAUGCUAGCCCUCCUUUCUCUCUGCCGAGGACCUCUGAGCCCCUGAGCCCUAUAUAUAUCUGUGUAUUUGGCAAUCUCUCCCUUGUAGUACGUAACAUCGUAAAAACAGAAGAGAUCUAAGGCCACGCCUUAUGUCACGUUCCUUUCUGCACUGUCACUGCUUAUUUCGGUGCUGACUACCUACUAAACCUUCAAUGAGUCCGUGAGGAAUGAGUGGGAAUGUAACUUUAAGAUAAACUGUAUCUUCCUCCAAUGUCCAAAGAGCAUUCCUCUGGGUAUCAGCCAAAUGCCACUCUAGGUAGACUAACACCCACUCCUGCCCAGCUCACCUUUCAUACUGCCUUCUAGUUAAACAGUGUUCUUGUUUAAAUUUUCUCUCUAUCCUGAUGCUCCCCACAGAAUGUAAGCACUGUGAAAUUGAAGAAGAGGAAGAAAAGGAUGGUUUGUUAUGCUCUGGUCCUAGCCCUGAGAACAAUGGUUGAAAGUCUGAGUGUUUUUCUCGGGUUUUUUUGGGGUCAGGGUUGUACUGGGAAUUGAACUCAGGACCUUGUGCUUGUCAGGCAGACACACAUGCUGCUGAGCUAUAACCUGAGCCCCAUCUGAGCAUCUUUACAGACUGAUUCCAAGAUUGUCACCCAUGAUAACAAGUCUGAAUUAAAGUCAUGUAGGAAUAAGUUUGCCAGAUAUAGCAAAUGAAGAUACAAGAUAUUCAAUUAAAUUUGAAGAGCUAGUAAAUAAUUAAUACUAUUUCAGCAUAAGGAUGUCUCACAGGAGUUUUGUGCUAUGGUUAUGCUAAAAAUUAUUUAUUGUUUAUGUGGAAUGCAAAUUUAGCUGUGUACCUUGUAUUUUAUUUGGGAAUUCUUAGAGGGGCUUUUUUCUGAAUAUCAUAUAAGUUCUCAGAAAUUCUGAAAGUUUCUAAGCUAACAACCAUGUUUAUUUCACUCUGGCUCUCAGUGGGUAGGAUUGUUUCAUAACCUGCAAACGUAUUACAGUGGAAAAUAACACUAUUUUUAAAAAAUUUUACCAACACAAAAGCAGAGGAUCAAGAAAAGGACGGGAGCACCAAUCUGAGGGAAUUUAGUGGCUUUCCUGAUGCCAGCCACUGUUCCAUGCAUGUGUCAUCAUGAGUGAUUGGCUGCAAGGUAAGAGUUGUCCUAAUUUCCAUGGAGAAAGGAAAUUAACGGUGACAAAGCAUGGGAAAUGCUCAGCUGUUCAAUGCUAGUUCCAAAUUUGAUGAGGCCCAGAAAGAUGAGGCUGCAGGUGAGUUCAGCUGUGUGGAGGGCAAGGGCAGGGAACUACAGAGAUGCAGGCCUGCUGGGGAAUGGCCACCUCAGCCUGGUGGCUGACACAUGCUUCUCCCGGAGGGGAAGAGAGCCUGCCAUGCACUUCCCUGGGGGGGGGGGGCAGAGGGCAUGUGAAAGUAGUAGGGAGUGGUGGGCACACAUGUGUGGCAUGCACAUGUAUGAGACACGGCAGGAAAAAAUUACUCCUGGGCUGCAGUAGCGGGAGCAGGUUCUAGAAGUCUGGUUAGCUCCCCGAGCCUUCUGCUCUGAGCCUUCCAGAGACUGACUCGGAAGCAGGAGGCUGAGUUUUCUCGGAAGGAUUCACUUCCAGGGUGAUUCCAGUUGCUGACCACACGCAGUUCCAUACAGCUGUCCCACUGAGGCCCCAUUUUCCUGCAGGCUGCCGGCAGGGUGUGGGGUGUUGUUUCCAGCAGCUGCAGGCUGCCCUCCUUUCCUGGCUUAUGCACCCUUUUCUUCAGCUGAGUGAUUGAGCCUUUUCUGUGCUUUGGUUCUCUGCCCUCCGCUUCGGCUUCAUCGCUCCUGCCUCUUCUGUGUGCUCCGUGGAUACUUCGUCCCUGGUCCUGCCAUCCGAGACUGUAUAUUUCUGUUAAGGUCCAGAAGCUUAAUUCCCUCCACUGUGGGAUGGAAUGUACUCACAGACAUCGCAUCAGGGAGUAAGACCAGAGAGGCCAAAAUUCAGCUUCCUGCUGUUACCUUAGGGAGAGGGAGGGAGUGGGCGAGACUGCGGGAAGUAACCUUGAAUGAUGCAGGAGGAAACUCAUCUCUCUCCCUCUCUCCUCUCUCUCUCUCUUUCUGUCUGUCUGUCUCUCUCUCUCUGGCUUUCCCUCACCACUCACCUUUCUUGUUUCUGUUUCUCUGCAGAAUUCUAACUUCAUCCAUGGAUGCCCAGCACUUCCACUUCAGGAUUCAAAGCCGGGAGCUCCAGUGGUACAAUCCAGUGGCGGUUCUUACGCAGGACUCGAAACGGGUCUGGAAGAGGUCCCUUGAACACCCGUGUUCCUAGCAGUGUUACCACAAUAGACGAGAGCCGGGAGCAAGAUGAGUGCCCGUCGGUGGUGAGGACGUAGGCCAAAGGUGUACACAUGGAGUGCCACUCAGCCUUCCUAAGGAGGGAAGCUGUGUCACACAUUACAGCACUGAUGAACCUUCUAGAUAAUAUGUCACAUGAAAUAAGCCAGAUGCAAAAGGAUAAAUGGUGUAAGAUUCUUUGCAACCGAAACAGAAACACUAGUGCCUCUCAAUCUCACUGGCUAAAGUGAAGCUACAGGUGGGCUCUGUCUGCCAGUGGCUUCCCCAGCAUAAAUAUUACAGGGCUUUGCUCUUUUUAAAUUUUUGGUACUGGGGAUCAAACUCACGACCUCGUGCUUACCAGGCAGGUGCUUGUACCGCUGAGCUAAAUCCCCGGUCCCUCAGUGUUUUGCUUAUAGAGCAGGAGUUAACUCAUUUAAGUCCCAUGUGUGUGACAAAUCUGUCCAUGCCUUGGACUUCAGAUGAGGUUCCAGAAGAAUCCACUUGCUCAGCUGGCUGGCAGUGAGAAUGUCCAGUGCUUUCAGGCGCCCCAUCCUGUGCCACGGUGAGUCAGCCUUGUUCCAUGGCCCCAGCGGGAAAACUACUACUCAAUGCAAACAGUCUAAGCAGGGCACAUCCUGGUCAUUCGUACUGCAUCGUGUUUAGGAUGGGAACGUCAGUUCUCUUUUUCUUCAUCUAAGUUGAGAUGCUGUGAGCCUGUCCAGUUCAUCUUGCAUUUUUGCUUUAGUUCUUGUCUGUAACAAAAUGUGAAAAAUAUGUAUAUGUAGGAUGAUCAAAAAUACAGUGUAUGUUUAAAUACAAAGUUAUUGUAAUAAAAGACACAUUGUCAUUCACCCCCUUUAAA